UGGUUAGUGAUGAAUUAAAUCGGGUAUAAACCUUGUAAUUCCGUUGGUAAGUCCUAUAUGGCGGGUUGUAUCACCUAGGGAUGUUCCCGGUCGGGUUUAUAACGAUUAAUUCUCGAUUUGCAUAAAAUAGAUUAAACAGAAUAAAUCCCAGCUUUGUAAAAGGCCCUACAGCCCUAAAAAGGUCCUGCUAAAUACUUGGUAUCAAAGCCAGGGAAGAUCUACUCAGGUUAUGGAAGUUGUUAUUCAACACUUAACUUUCUUUUAAUAUGUCUUGGUUUAAUAAACCAAAGUUUAUUAAAAAUAUGAUUAAAGAAUAAGUUGAUUUCCCUGCUCAACAAGAUUUAUAAAAUACUUGGGUGAUUCCUAAAGUAUAUAUUGAGACUAUAUAUAAAUUAGGAACUUUUGAAAGAUUUGCUGGAAAAACUACUGUGAAAAUCACAGAGUUGAGUUUUACAAUGGAUAAAGAUAGUGGAGUUUUUAAUUUAUUAUCUCAAAAUGA
rnacentral:lncRNA from 1 species